rnacentral:rRNA from 1 species
CGCUGCGAACGCUUAACACAUGCAAGUCGAACGAACCUUGUUCUAUUGAUUUUGAAACUUCGGUCGAUAAUGAUAUAUAACGCUGGUUAGUGGCAAACGGGCGAGUAACACGUAUCUAACCUGCCCUUGAGCGAGGCAUAACUAUGGAGACAUAGCUAAUUCCUCAUACGCUCAUCAGAAUGAAAAUAUGAUGAGGAAAGAUUUAUCACUCAAGGAGGGGGAUGCGUCCUAUCAGGUAGUUGGUGAGAUAACGGCUCACCAAGCCUAUGACGGGUAGCCGGUCUGAGAGGAUGUCCGGCCGCAAUGGAACUGAGACACGGUCCAUACUCCUACGGGAGGCAGCAGUGGGGAAUAUUGGACAAUGGGCGAAAGCCUGAUCCAGCGAUUCUGCGUGAAGGAUGAAGCCUUGUGGGGUGUAAACUUCUUUUCUGGGAGAAGACGAAUGACGGUAUCUCAGGAAUAAGAGACGGCUAACUACGUGCCAGCAGCCGCGGUAAUACGUAGGUCUCGAGCGUUAUCCGGAAUUACUGGGCGUAAAGCGUCUGCAGCCGGAUGUAUAAGUCUGUCUUUAAAUACUCCGAUUCAAUCGGAGAAAAGGGAUAGAUACUGUAUAUCUAGAGGAUUUUGGAGGUUAGUGGAAUUUCCGGUGGAGCGGUGAAAUGCGUUGAUAUCGGAAGGAAUGCCGAAAGCGAAAGCAGCUAACUAUGAAAUAUCUGACGGUCAGAGACGAAAGCUUGGGGAGCGAACGGGNAUUAGAUACCCCGGUAGUCCNAGCCGUAAAUGUUGCUUGCUAGGUGUUUG